AUUCCAUAUGACUCUUAAAAUGUUCUAAUAUCAUUUGAAAUAUUUUCAAUGGAUAUAUUCUAUUUUUUCAUACCAGUUACUUUAUUAUUGAUAACUUGCAAUUUAAGCAGAUGCGAAAAAUAUUUUCAAAGAUGUCUAGACAUGAAAUCUGCUCCGUUAGACCAUACUUAUAAGAAUAAUACUUAUUAUACGAUGAAUAAUGUUGAAAGAGAACAUUUGACUAUGAAAAGUAUUCUUCAGUGGGGUGUCUGUAUGGGAUGGGGAAAUUGGAAAAUUGAUAAAAAAUUUGGUUGCUCUAGUCCUGAAUUAUCAGAAAACACUAUAUUAGAAUAUCCAUGUCAAUGUAACUUUGGUGGUAUGUGCAAAGCUAAGUGUAAACAAAAUUUACAUAUUGAAGAAUAUAUCUAUUGUAAUAACGAUGGUACUUGGACCAAAAUUCUCAGAUGCCCAAUAUCGUGUCUUCUGCCGAUUUUACCUCCAAACUUAGUCUUGAUUCAAGCAUGUAGUGCAGGAGUAGGUGAGACAUGUAGGAUAAAAUGUGCUAAAGAUUUUGUUCUAAUUGGAAAUGACACAAUUCAAUGUCUGAAAACUGGAAAAUGGAGUAAAAUUCCAAAAUGUGUGCCAUUGCUUCGACUUUCUACGGUGUUACCUCCAAAUUAAUCUGACUGUUAGAAAUUCUAAUUGCAAUUUAAGAAAUUUCAUUAAAGAAAAAUUUAUAAGUAACCUGGAAGUAUUU